rnacentral:lncRNA from 1 species
UAAACCCUAAUUUGGAGGUCAACUUCCCAAGACCAUAACUUGCUCAAUCAUUAUGCGAUGAAAGCCAUUCAAGUUGCAUGAUCAAAUUCAAGAUGUCCACUUCAACUUUUAUGUUUGGAGGAAGUACAAGUUCAACUUGAAAAUACAUGUGAUACAGGGAAACAUUAUAGGUCAUUUUGGGGUAAUACCAUUGAAUAAGUGAUUUUCC